AAUAUUUGUAGUUCAUGUAUACACAUCAUGAUACAUAGAGAAAACGUGUAUAGAUUAAGUAAUAGACCAAUAUUUGUAGUUCAUGUAUACACAUCAUGAUACGUAGAGAAAACGUGUAUAGAUUAAGUAAUAGACCAAUAUUUGUAGUUCAUGUAUACACAUCAUGAUACGUAGAGAAAACUUGUAUAGAUUAAGUAAUAGACCAAUAUUUGUAGGCCAUGUAUACACAUCAUGGUACGUAGAGAAAUCAUUGGCAGAUUUAGUAAUCCUCCAACCAUUGUAGGUCAUGGAUUGUCAAGCCUGGUAACCACUGGUCGCUUUCCUACUAAAAUCUGUAUUAUACAGAUUGACUAUCGCAGGAAUAUUGGUUUUCUAAUGUCUGUCUGUUGGUGUAUCCGUCUGUAAGUCUGUUGAGAGAGAAUAGUAAAGUUUAUCAUAAAAUAAUAACCAAAAUAUUAACCAAUUAGGGCCUUAAUUAUGGACCUCAGUUUUAAGCUGAUCCUGAAUAUUUCGAGAAAAUGUGUGUUUGUUAACUUAAUAGAAGUUGGAUUGUUGAAUUUUUAUGCCCCCUGAUUGAUAGAUCGAGGGUAUAUUGUUUUUGGCGUGUCUUUCUGUUUGUCAUUCUGUCCCAAAACUUUAACCUUACAGUAAAGUUUUGCAAUAACUUUUGAAAUAUUGAACAUAGCAACUUCAUAUUUGGCAUGCAUGUGUAUCUCAUGGAGCUGGACAUUUUGAGUGGUGAAAGGUCAAGGUCAUCCUUCAAGGUCAAAGGUCAACAACAACAAAAAGCGGCGCAUUAGGGGGCAUUGUGUUUCUCACAAACACAACUCUUGUUCCCAAUAACAAGCUUUUUCUCUUGAUUUAUAAAAUAAAGCCAUUCAACCAAUUUCAUAUCUGUGU